rnacentral:snRNA from 1 species
AUGCCUUAAACUUAUGAGUAAGGAAAAUAACGACCCGGGGUGACGCCCGGGUCCUCACUACUGAUGUGAGAGGAAUUUUUGCGCGGGUACAGGUCGUCCCAGGGUGACCCGCUUACUUCGCGGGAUGCCCAGGUGCAAUGAUCUGCCCG